rnacentral:lncRNA from 10 species
CCUGUGCAGGCAGGAUAGCCUUCACGCUCCUUAUGGCCCCUGUGGUCCUGCAUGCUCUACCCCUUCACCUCCCUUUGGCCUAUACCCCUGGUCCUCUAAGCUCCAGACACAUUAGCAUUCUUUCCAUUCUUUGAAAGGGGAUCAUAGUAGUGACUUCUUUACAGGGUUCUUGAGAAUACUAAACAAGACAAUGAUGGCACUUGGCCCAAUGCCAGGCACUAAGACCUGCCCAGCUGAUCUUAUUGUCAAUCUCCAUGUUGUAGAUAAGGACAGUGAGGCUGAAAGGGGUUAAGUCACUUGGUUAAGGCUCACAACCAGUAGGUAGUAAAGCCAAGAUCUGAAACUGGACAGUUGGGCUCCUAAGCCUGUGCCCUUAACCACAACACCAUAUUGACCCUUCAAGAGUGAAAAAGUAUGUGGCGUCUGCCUUAGACAGGCAUACUCCCCAGGUGGGAGACACAACCUGCAAUAAGUGUGUGCAACCUCAUACUAUGGGCACCAAGAGAAGAAAGGAAGGAAGGAUUAAUUUUACAGGGGGAGGAGGGAGAGAAUCAGGAAAGCUGCCUGGAGGAGGUGAGCUUUAUCCAGUUUCCAGAGCUGACUCACUUUCCUCCAGGUUUCUCUGCAGAUGGACGAGUCUUUGCUGAGGCAGGCAGGUAGAAAGGGACUGGAGCUUAAGGGAUGCAGUCAAGGAAGUCAGUGAGAGAGGGAGGGCAGGACAUUAGGCUUGAAGUGUGUGAGGUGGGCAAGUUAAUGAACCUCCAAGAGCCUCAACUUUCUCAUCUGCAGAAUGGGGAUGAUAACACCCACCUUCUGAAGCUGUUUGAAUAUUAAAUGAGAUAACGUGUAUAUACUUCCCGACCCAGUAUUAUUCCUCUUUAUUUACCUUUCAUAAAACUAUUUCACUCACUAAAAAUAAAUUUAAUUGAGCAUAUUUUUGACACAGUAGCAUUAAUAAUCUUGAGUGUCAUUAUCAGUCAUUCAUAAUAACAAUAUAAUGAAUAAUAAUGUUAAUUGCCAUUGACAGCACUAAGUGCUUAA